rnacentral:rRNA from 1 species
CCUACGGGUGGCAGCAGUGGGGAAUAUUGCACAAUGGGGGAAACCCUGAUGCAGCGACGCCGCGUGAGCGAAGAAGUAUUUCGGUAUGUAAAGCUCUAUCAGCAGGGAAGAAAAUGACGGUACCUGAGUAAGAAGCUCCGGCUAAAUACGUGCCAGCAGCCGCGGUAAUACGUAUGGAGCAAGCGUUAUCCGGAUUUACUGGGUGUAAAGGGAGCGCAGGCGGCCUUGCAAGUCUGAUGUGAAAUACCGGGGCUCAACCCCGGAGCUGCAUUUGAAACUGUUUCCCUUGAGUAUCGGAGAGGUCAUCGGAAUUCCUAGUGUAGCGGUGAAAUGCGUAGAUAUUAGGAAGAACACCAGUGGCGAAGGCGGAUGACUGGACGACAACUGACGGUGAGGCGCGAAAGCGUGGGGAGCAAACAGGAUUAGAUACCCGAGUAGUC